UCAAAAUAUCAUUGAAAGUAGAGAUGAAGAUCUGAAUGUGCUUAUGGCAGAAUUACUUGUGCCAGCUUUAUAAAGGGAGACCCGAGAGAUCCUGCUAGAAAUUGAUGAGGCCUAUAGAGUUCAAACGAGUUAUGCUCGACGUAACAGGUUACCCAGGGAAGUCCACAUGCGAUUUGCCAGGAAACAAGUACGUGACAUAAUAUACAAGAUAACGCGAGACAAACCUUUGGUUUAUAAAGAUAAAGAAGUGCAAACCCUGAAGCAGGUUCCCAAGAAGGUGCGUGAACAGAGAAAAGAGUAUAAGUUUUUGGCAACACAAUUUAUCCAGAAGAACAUAAUGUUUCGGUGGUUAAUUCCAGAAGGCUUGUUGGUGACAUGGCAGGAAAAGAGGAUCAGGAUAGAUAACUUAGACAAGGCGCAAGAUUUCUAUGAGCAGAUUGGAGGAACAGAAGAAGAAAGCGGUAGAGAGGAGCUAGAGACAGAAAGCCAAGAAGAACAAUAACAGCAAGAUAUAGGAGACCUAGAACAAGAAGGAGAGAACAAGGAGGAGACGGAAGGAAGAAGAUUAAGAACACACCCGCAAAGAGAGACUAGAAUUAAAAGAAGACAGAUAAUAUCCCACAAGUAGAAAGACGGAAAUGGAAAUGAAGCUAUUAUCAUUAAACAUAAAUGGUCUAAACUCACCCAUUAAAAGGAAACAGAUACUAUCUAGAUUAGCAGUCAUGACCUCCAAGUUGGGUGGCAUGCCUUUC